UACGGAGGGUGCGAGCGUUGUCCGGAAUCACUGGGCGUAAAGGGCGCGUAGGCGGCCUGAUAAGUAGGGGGUGAAAUCUUGCGGCUUAACCGCAAGGCUGCCUUCUAAACUGUCAGGCUAGAGCACAGUAGAGGCAGGUGGAAUUCCCGGUGUAGCGGUGGAAUGCGUAGAGAUCGGGAAGAACAUCAGUGGCGAAGGCGGCCUGCUGGGCUGUUGCUGACGCUGAGGCGCGACAGCGUGGGGAGCAAACGGG
rnacentral:rRNA from 1 species